rnacentral:rRNA from 1 species
GACGAACGCUGGCGGCGUGCUUAACACAUGCAAGUCGAACGAAAAGACCCUGCGUUUGUGGGGUGCUCGAGUGGCGAACGGGUGAGUAACACGUGAGUAACCUGCCCUUGUCUUUGGGAUAACUUCAGGAAACUGCGGCUAAUACCGGAUAGGAGCUCCUGAUGCAUGGGGGGGGUUGGUAAGUUUCGGCGGUUUGGGCUGGACUGGAGGCUUAUCCGCUUGAUGGUGGGGUAGGGGCGUACGAGGGCUGUGACGGGUAGCCGGCCUGAGCGGGUGAACGGCCACAUUGGUACUGAGAGACGGCCCAGUCGGCUACGGUAGGCAGCAGUGGGGAAUAUUGCAGAACGGGCGGAAGCCUGAUGCAGCAACGCCGCGUGCGGGAUGACGGCCUUCGGGUUGUAAACCGCUUUCGACGGUGCCGAAGCGUGAGUGACGGUAACGGGUAAAGAAGCACCGGCUAACUACGUG